AGAAGGAGAGCUUCUCCCCGACGGAAACGCGGAUGGUACCUCGUUACAGACGCACUUUAAAAACCGGUUAGGGGAGGCGCACAAAGCGUCGGUUAGGAUAGGAGGGGAGCCAGAGCAUGGUCAGCGGCGUGUUUGGGAUCGGGGGUAAGGGGAGCUAGGGGUAUCAGAGAGGCGGAGGAGCAGGGCAGUGGUGCAGGAGGCGGUACCUCGGAGAGGCGGCGCACGCAGUGGGAAGAGGUGGUAUGACGGGAAGGUGGAGCGGAAGGAAGAGAAGAGAGUGAGCGCCGCCCCUGCCUCCACUGAGCUCCGCCGCCGGUCCCACUGAGGUGCGCAGCCGAUCGCUUAGGUCCGCCAUCACCGCCACUCCGGUACGCCCGCGGCAGUUGGGUUAUACAACGGGACCAGGACACCACCCGCCGGCCCAGUCGCCCAGCCUCGCCCCCGUCAUCCGGCACCCUUCAGUCGCGGAGGUGGGAAGGAGGAGGGGAUCGGGUAAGGGGUUAGUUGUGUCGGCGGUGCGGUUAGGGUGGAGGAUGGAGGAGGGAGGGCGCAGUGGUAUCGGCAGCCAGGGGAGGGAGGUCUAGGUAGAAGAGAGGGAACAAUCGGCGGCGACGUGCUUGGCGCGGUUAGAAACCCGCGCCGUCCCCGACUACCUCACCGCCUAGGCCCGUACGAGGGUGGGAAUCCAUGAGGUGCUACUGCCGGUCAAGCCUCCCUCUUCCAUCUUUCGUUACCGCUCAGGACGCGGAGACCCACCUUCGUCGCCCCAACCAGCUCGUCCCCUACACCAGCCCCAGUCGUCAACUUCCUCCGAGCGGCCGGCCUCGUCGUCCUCCUCGCGGAGCUCCUCACCUUCCCUCUCCAGCACGUCCUGUCCGGUUGUUCUCGUUAUCUCGUUCCUCCUAUUUUAUAAGCUAGUCGGGAUAUAGAAGAAGAGCUACGUCGAGGCGUACUCCUCAGUACGAUCCAUAGGACCCCACUAAGUUCUACGAAUCCACAUAGUGUGACGUACCAUGUGUACGGUAAAAACGUCCGACGAGACUCUAUGUGACUAAAUCUAUGUUGGUGUACAGACGUCGUUAAAGAAUGAGAACCAUAUUUCUGGUUGAGUACCACACCCUUCGUAGAGUAUACCAAGUGGCUUAGUUAACUACUUAGACUUCGCUAAGUUCUCCUCCUCGUUUUUGACCAAUACGGAUAUCACUUUGCCUUCCGGUACUUGUUACGCAGAGGCCCUUCACUUAAAAUACCACGGAACGUAAGACGAGUAAACCGCGUUAACAAGUAGUGUUUCACCUCCCCUCUUCAGACCGACGAUGACUACCCUUUACCCACGGAGAGGUCAGUUGGCUCGUUACUGUUUAGGUUGACCUUUCCCGAGACACCACUAGAAGUACAAUAGUCAUUUAGACCUUUCCUUCGGUACGCAGCCGCAUGCAGUUACUAAGCCCACGGACGCCGUACUGCUGUAACGUCUUCGUGCGUAGCAAGAAGCUGCCGUUUGUUCCUACGUAAACAAAAGGUAAGUCAAAGAAAAACAAGGGAUGCGAAAAAGAGUCUCUCUAAAGAGAUUCACUAAGAGGCAAACCACAAGCAACUAAGACAGAGUGCAUGUUAAAUAGGAGGAACGUAUAGUCGCAAAACCCGGGAGCCUAAACCUAAACGUCGGAGGUGUUACUCACGGUGGAAGUAGUUACCGCAGGAACCGGGGGUCUAUUUUGGCCAUUAGGAAGCUGUUGUUUUAGUAUGCAGAAACAGAUAUCCUCAAUAAAAGAGAUAACCUCAACUCUUCCUACUGUAUCGCUUCCUCCUAAGGCUGUACCAUCGAGGGUGUUAGUGCGUCAACCUCUCGUACGCGCUCAAGCCAUUUGAUACAUAAGAUAACCAUAUCGAGACUUUCCAAUCCUACGAAACCCAGCGCCGGACUUGAUACAUAGACACCUAUAAUAAUGUGAAAGUCGUACGAUAAAGGAUAAGAAAACUGUAGUCAAAGACACUUAAUACCGACUUGAUACUAUGAAAUCCAACGUACGAGUUGAUUCACAUCACAGUAAUGGCGAAAGAGGGGACUAACAUAACAGGAACGGUACAAUAGGGGAUUUCCGAAUGAGAACGGUACAAUAAGGGAUUUAAUAAUGAGUAAAGAAGAAAACGGUCACGAGGCGAAUACGUAGUACAUAAAUCAUCAUGGUUUUUUGCUCCAUACGAAGAAAUGUAAUUUGUCAGAAAGGAAGAGUCAUAUAUACCUUCAUAUACCCUACCGAAGGUAUCUUAUGAUCACAGACAUGAUAUAUGAUCUACUUUUAUUAAAGGAACGUACGCUUGUAUACGAUUAAUCAUCGGCGUGAUGUAAGGACUUCGAAAAAAACUUGAUAACCCUUUGUACUCUUUCAACAAUGUGUCUUCAUAUAUCAAGAACAAAGAUAAAGUUUGUUUUGUUUCCGAUUUUCAACGAUGAAGACAUCAUGAGGAUAUAUGUUGUUAAUCACAAGUCGAUCUGACAGUUAGAAUGUCGAACAACGAUUGGCGAUGGAGACAUCCGAAUACGGUCGCGACCACUUUUUCGUGGACGCCAACCCUUCUUUCGUUUCGACAUCGAUAGUACGUGGUAGGUACGUACGUUAAUCAAAUGUUUUUGUUAAUCUUUAACACUAAGAUUAGUCUAAGUAACAUAAUGACCUAGAAAACGUAUAGUGUUAGAGGAACGACUGUAGUCCACUUCAACACCAGGUCCUCUUCUUACUUCUAAAAUAUCGAGAUCGAAGGGGGAAGUCUAUCAGUACGAGAGGAGGACCAAAUUGUAGGUCAACAUCACACUAUCGAAACCGUGUGAAAGUACAUUAUAUCUAGAGCGUAUAAAAUAGACAGAUGAACAAAAUACUCCUUUGUUGAGCUGAUUACCAAUUACUAGCCCACAACUCUUGUUUUCAUCCACCUUACGAGUAACUAGUAAUUGACAGAAACGACAAGAAUGGUAUACCCUGAGACGUUUUUACGUUUAAAUGUUCUCUUUAGGUCACGUACACAAUACAAAGAUUUAAAAGGGAUUUAACAAAAACAUCUUAACGAAUGGAUUGGUAGUUAGAUAAACUGAUGUUCUUAGACGUGGUACGAUAACAAGAAAAUCAGUAUGGGUAGAAUAAAUCAAAGAACCCAAAGAUCGGGACGACUGAAAGGUCCACUAAUAAUUCAAUUGAUUAUGAAAGAAUACAAGAGGACAAUCGGUUCGGGUAAACAACCCAAGUUAACACACAUACCUUUUAAACUACUGACCCUAUACUAGAGCAAGGAAAGAGUACUACGAUACAAGACGGACAAUGUACUGGAGCACAAUAUUUAGAUGAUGUAUUCAUGGAUCUCUAAGUAAAGAAAGUAAAACCACGGAUGUAAACUAGUAUCCUUUGAUUUUUAUGAGAUGAAGAGUACGUUCUAACAUAGGAUACACUUGAUACCUCAGUAAGACCUCCAUAGCAAGAUCCUAUAAAUAGAAACAACAAGAAUCUACUUGGUAGGUAAUUUACCAAUAGUAUAAACACGCCCUUGACCUAUUUCUUACAUGGAAAGUGAAAGAAUAUGAUACAACCAACCGCGACGGUCAAACUAAAAGGAAAUUUGCUAUUUGUUCUGUCUUCCUGUACACACCGAAGAAAUCGAAAUAUAGUACAAUAUAAACGUAGAAAUUGUGGUAGAAAAAGGUAGUUAUAACUCUACCAAGUCCCAGUUUUCGUUACGUUCUAACAAAGUUAAAACUAAGAGUAUAAAUACAUC
rnacentral:rRNA from 1 species